CCUGUUUUCAGAUUUAGCCUGGAGAGCUGCAAUAGAGUUGUGCCAUUUCUGUAACGUUUUUUGUUAUUCCUUCAUAGGAUUUAAUGUUUCUUUGUGGGCUUCACUGUAUAGUGAAGGCUUAAAGCAUGGGUUGAGUGGAGAGCAGGAGACCAGAAAGUCAAGGAAAAGCAGAGGCUUAGGGAGAAAGUUGGAUGCAAUUACUCAAAAGGUUGAGAUUUAUAAAUAUAUAAAUAUGAGUAUGGGUGUGGUAAACUAUUGUACUGUAUAAGUGGCUGUAACUAUGGUAACAUGGGAAAAUGAGAAGUGGAAUCACAUAGCUGAUGAUAUUGCUCUUUAACUUGGAAAUCAACAUCAGUGUUUUGCUGGCUGUUAAAUCCAGUUUCAUCAACAGCUGGUGGAAAAGGGUCAGGCUUUUGCUGGAGGUGGACAGCAAAGGGAAAAAAACAAGUUCUUUGAAGGAAAGUAUUGAAAGGUGCUUUGGGCUGGGGGAGAGCUCACAUUGCUGUUGGUUGCUCAGAGAGGUGGAAAAUCUACCGAUUUUCCAGGAGGGCUUCACAAAUUGACUUUGGGCAAGUGUACAAGGCAGCCUCCCUUGCAGUGGAGAGCUGAGCCAGAGGGAACUGAGAGGGCCCUUUCAGCCUAAGUUAUUCUUGCUGCAGUCAUUCUGGCAUUUUGUCCUCUUACUAGAGACGUUGUCCAUAAAUACUAAAAGGCAUGAGUAGUCCAACCUGAAUAUCUGGUGUUCAGGAAGGCUGGCUUUUCAUUUGUACUAUUGUACUGUUUCAUUAUCCUGCAGGUACUUAUAUCUAAAACAUCCAUGCUGUGCUGAAAGUUGGACUUGCUGUGGAAGAUAAUGACUGCUAUUUCACUGGAUGUAAGCUGAUUUGAAGAAUUGUUUCUUUAUUAGUUGUUUGGGAACUAAUGCUAAUGAGAGUCUCAGUUGCUGUCAUUUUCUCUUAGGGGGUAAAACAUUUUGUACUGUGUGAUUUAUUUUGAGAAUGGUGUAAUGAAUAACGGUACCUAAAAUGUUUUAUUUUAAACAAAAAAGAGAAUUAUUUUUUUAACAAGUGUUCUCUAAUACAGGGAUGUUUGCCAGAGGGAAGACCUUUAGAAUCAUGCUGGGUACUCAUAACAAUAUGAAUAAUAGUGUGACAUAGAUGAAAACUGUAAAUAAGCAGAUUUUUUUUUUUGUAGGUAAUAUUUGGCUAUUUUCAGGUUCUACUUUUUAUUUCUUUGCAAGUUAAAGGUAUAGUCAGUUGUUUUUGUCUAGUAAAUUUAGUGAUGUAUGUAGUCUGCCUUGAAAGUAACGAGGCUUGCUGAAUAUGCACAGAACAAUUGGUCGUAGAGCUUACUGGGGUGGUAAGUGAACAUCUGGAAGACCCUGCCAAGGAUGCUAUGGCAAAUUAAUUAGUACUGUAGGCAUAGCACCAGACAUGUCCAGUGCAGCUUACUACUCAGGGUGAAUAUAUGAUUUCUGAAAGAACAAAUAAUGCUCUUUCUUUAUGUCAGUCACUUAAGUGUAUUUAAUAGUAUUGAAUGGUGAUGCAGAGUAGUACUCAUUUGCUGUAAAUUAAAUCUUUAGUAACUAUAGAAGAGUAUUAUUGUUGGUUUGUCUGUGAAUCUGACACAUUUUCCAGGUAAUGAUUAAACAGAAAUAUUUCAUUAGAAUUUUCAGUGUGAUUUCUGAAGUCUAAAACAUAGAAUAAUAGUGCUUAAUACCUGCCAUUAGCACAAACUCAGACACCUAUAUGCAGAGUCAGGGAACAAUCAGGUAGAUGUUCUGCCUCUAAACUGGGAAAUAAAAUGUGUUCUCUCUGGCUCUUCUGUGCCUGCCUGAGGAGUAAUCUGAGUACACCUUAUACAGGCAUAAAAUAAUAGGCUCUACCAAGUGCUGGAACUAUUACAGGGAGUGAUGAUUAUAGAGUAUCUACAUUUGUAUGUAGUAAGUCUGAAACACUGCAAUUUGCGUAGUGUUCUGAACAAGAAACCUUUGGCUGCUGGAUGCUGUGAAAAGUAGGAAAGGACAAACAUGGAGAUUUCUUGAUAUUGAGAACAAUCUGCUACUUAAUUUCAGACUAACUUUCCACUGAGGUCUGUUUCUGGGAAGAAGUGAUGCGAGUAAGGUUUCCUUGAAAGAGAAGUAAAAUAUAAUUACCUUUAUUCAUUUAAUGACCUUUAUGUGAAUUUAGUAGCUUUCAGCCUAUUCUGUGAGGAUUGUGUGAAUUUGAGGUCUGAAAUGAUUAAAUAUUUCUUUCAAGAUAGCACUGAAGAGUACACUUAGUGGUUUCAACCAAAUCUGUAAUUGAACAUUUGACCAAAUUGAGGCUCUCUACAAUAUUCAGUUCAGAAGUGAAAAGUAUAUCCGGGCCGUAUGCCCCUAAAGACUUGUUUUUCUAUUGAAUUCCCUCAUUCCUUGGUUGGGCAUACUGUUAUACAGAACAACCUAAGUAUGAAAACGACCAGUUUUCUACGAAAUCAUGGUCAGUAUUUAUUUUUUGGUCAUGCUGUUUGUCGCGACGCCUUUAUUUCCCAGACAUUUUUCUGUUUAUUUGCAAUGCUCGACAACCUUCAGCUUUACUUUGCCACGUGACAAUGUGUUUAGUCUUGGUUAAAGCAUCCUGUAAAGCAGACAGCACUUGAGUAUGCUUUUUUUUCUGCUUGACUCUCCACAACAUUUAAAUAUUUGCAACAUUUAUAUAUUUGUUACAGUUUUGCAAUUCUCUUUUUGGUCACUGGCUGCUUAUAUUUUCCCUUACAGGGUAUCUGGUGCGUAAAUCGUAUGUUCUCUUUCUCUUUACAGUAUUCUUAAUUUUGCUGUUAGUACAUUUCUGGCCCUGAAAUUGCUCAGCCUGUAAAUAUUUCCAUUUUCAGCAUAAGGUGAUUAUGUGAUGAUACUAGAGUGUGAGGUGGAAGUGAUUCCUCUACUCCAGAGGAAAAUGCAGCCUUGGAUAAUUUGGUUAGUAAAGUUACCUCUUGGUUACUACAACAUCCCACGAUACUGAAUGUAACAUCAUUAUAGAUUCAACAAGCAAAAACAAAGGAACAACAAAAACUCAUCUCCACAGAAUGAAAUAUCUUCAGUAUCUUUUUUUAAACUCUGUAUUGGUGUGACUAAACUAAUUCAUAGUUCUAGUUUGUGUAUUACUUGACAUUUACUUGUCAUUUAUGCUGUUGCAUUAAGAAAACUGUUGAGUGUGAAAGAUGUGUGAGGCAAAACACUGGAGAGUAGAAAAGCUGAGUUAUUCCUGACACUUCUUUGAUGCGCGCUAUCUGAGGCCUGAGAAAAGCAAAUUAAGUCAGCUUAUACUUAAAGUAUAAGGGAUUUAGAUUUAUAUCUUCACUGAAGUUUAAUGGGGAAUAUGUUUAAAUCCCCUGACUUUUUUUCCCCAUGGUCCCGUAAUCUGCUUUGAGAGAGACUGACACAAAAAUAACUUCAAAUACUAGACAAAUCAGAUGUUUUUCUAUUUGUUUUGUAAUGUCAAUAAAAUAAUAUUACUUGCAUUGAAUGCAGGUGCAAAUGAGACUUGAAAAUAUAGGACUUGUUGACAUACAGAAUAUUGAUUUGACUUCUCAAGGAAUUAAUUCCUUUUUGAAAAUUAGACUAAACUGAUUUACCUGUUUUCAUCAUUCAGUUACUAGGCAUCUUGGGGAUAGAUAUUAGAUCUUUUCAUGGUGCACUUCAGAGAUUGUAUAUUGCCGUGGCACAUUGUUAACUUCUAUGAUAUGAGCAAGAUUUGUGAGUCUUUAAUUGAAAAGCUACUUGAACUUCUUUCUUAGCAUCCUGUGGAUGAAGUGUCUGUCUCUAAAUACAUGAGACAGACACUUCAUCCACAUAAUAAUAAUAAUGAAUGUUAUUCAUUAAUUUUUGCAUGCUUUACUGUUCAGUGAUCGUUAUAUUCUUUAAGUGGACUUCUUUUUUCACAAAAUAUGAUUAAUACCAAGUAAACCUAAGGGUAAAAUUAUUAUAGAUGCUUUAUGGUGCCAAGAGACUUGACAGUAAGAACUGUAACUUGAGUUUGGAUGCUGAAGAGCAUAUCAACCCAUAAGAGAAGAUCAAGGAGAUUUCAAUCAUAGUGGAG
ensembl:lncRNA